rnacentral:rRNA from 1 species
ACGGGUGAGUAACGCGUGGGAACGUGCCCUUCGGUUCGGAAUAACUCAGGGAAACUUGAGCUAAUACCGGAUACGCCCUUUUGGGGAAAGGUUUACUGCCGAAGGAUCGGCCCGCGUCUGAUUAGCUAGUUGGUGAGGUUACGGCUCACCAAGGCGACGAUCAGUAGCUGGUCUGAGAGGAUGAUCAGCCACACUGGGACUGAGACACGGCCCAGACUCCUACGGGAGGCAGCAGUGGGGAAUAUUGGACAAUGGGGGCAACCCUGAUCCAGCCAUGCCGCGUGAGUGAUGACGGCCUUAGGGUUGUAAAGCUCUUUUCUCCGGGACGAUAAUGACGGUACCGGAGGAAUAAGCCCCGGCUAACUUCGUGCCAGCAGCCGCGGUAAUACGAAGGGGGCUAGCGUUGCUCGGAAUCACUGGGCGUAAAGGGCGCGUAGGCGGCUGAUUUAGUCGAGGGUGAAAGCCCGUGGCUCAACCACGGAAUGGCCUUCGAUACUGGUUGGCUUGAGACCGGAAGAGGACAGCGGAACUGCGAGUGUAGAGGUGAAAUUCGUAGA